CUACGGAGGGUGCAAGCGUUAUUCGGAAUCACUGGGCGUAAAGGGUGCGUAGGCGGUUUGGUAAGUCUGAUGUGAAAUCCUAUGGCUCAACCAUAGAACUGCAUUGGAAACUGCUAAACUAGAAUACUGAAGGGGCAGAUGGAAUUAGUGGUGUAGGGGUAAAAUCCGUAGAUAUCACUAGGAAUACCGAAAGCGAAAGCGAUCUGCUGGGAAGUUAUUGACGCUGAGGCACGAAAGCGUGGGGAGCAAACGGGAUUAGAAACCCCAGUAGUCC
rnacentral:rRNA from 1 species